AACGAACGCUGGCGGCAGGCCUAACACAUGCAAGUCGAACGCUGCAGCAAUGCAGAGUGGCAGACGGGUGAGUAACGCGUGGGAACCUUCCCAGUGGUACGGAAUAGCCCAGGGAAACUUGGGGUAAUACCGUAUAAGCCCCUAGGGGGAAAGAUUUAUCGCCAUUGGAUGGGCCCGCGUCGGAUUAGCUAGUUGGUGAGGUAACGGCUCACCAAGGCGACGAUCCGUAGCUGGUCUGAGAGGAUGAUCAGCCACACUGGGACUGAGACACGGCCCAGACUCCUACGGGAGGCAGCAGUGGGGAAUAUUGGACAAUGGGCGCAAGCCUGAUCCAGCCAUGCCGCGUGAGUGACGAAGGCCUUAGGGUUGUAAAGCUCUUUUGGCGGGGACGAUAAUGACGGUACCCGCAGAAUAAGCUCCGGCUAACUUCGUGCCAGCCGCCGCCGUAAAAC
rnacentral:rRNA from 1 species